rnacentral:lncRNA from 1 species
CUGGAUAGGAACUUUGAUAGGGCGGAACUUUUUCUUCCCACUUCCUGAUUGUCUCUCCAGGCCGAGGCAGCUCUCUGCUUGUUUAACCCUCUUGGUCCCUUUCCACAUCCCACUUACUUCUCCCUAGGGAAGAAUUGGGCUGAACGUGUAAAGAAUAAGCUGGUGAAUGUGCAGUCAGGCCCUCUUCUUCCUGAGUCCACCCAAGGAGGCCUAUGGCUGACCGACACUGCCUAGGAUUGACAACAAAGAGAUUCAGGCUUAGACAACUCUCUUGUCUUCAAAGGGAUCAAAUAUGGGACGUUGCCAUUGUGAGGCUGGCAGCGGCACCACUGAGCUAAAUCACCGGCCCCAUAUCAACUAAUUUUUGAAAGGUAA